ensembl:miRNA
GCUGCUGAGAGGUCUAAUAACUAACAACCUCUACAUAAAUGUUAGUUAUUACAGACCUCUCAGCAGC